GAUGAACGCUGGCGGCGUGCCUAGUACAUGCAAGUCGAGCGAACAGACGAGGAGCUUGCUCCUCUGAUGUUAGCGGCGGACGGGUGAGUAACACGUGGAUAACCUACCUAUAAGACUGGGAUAACUUCGGGAAACCGGAGCUAAUACCGGAUAACAUGUUGAACCGCAUGGUUCAACAGUGAAAGACGGUCUUGCUGUCACUUAUAGAUGGAUCCGCGCCGCAUUAGCUAGUUGGUAAGGUAACGGCUUACCAAGGCAACGAUGCGUAGCCGACCUGAGAGGGUGAUCGGCCACACUGGAACUGAGACACGGUCCAGACUCCUACGGGAGGCAGCAGUAGGGAAUCUUCCGCAAUGGGCGAAAGCCUGACGGAGCAACGCCGCGUGAGUGAAGAAGGUCUUCGGAUCGUAAAACUCUGUUAUUAGGGAAGAACAAAUGUGUAAGUAACUAUGCACGUCUUGACGGUACCUAAUCAGAAAGCCACGGCUAACUACGUG
rnacentral:rRNA from 1 species